rnacentral:rRNA from 1 species
GACGAACGCUGGCGGCGUGCUUAACACAUGCAAGUCGAGCGGUAAGGCCCUUUCGGGGGUACACGAGCGGCGAACGGGUGAGUAACACGUGGGUGACCUGCCCUCAGCUCUGGGAUAAGCCUGGGAAACCGGGUCUAAUACCGGAUAUGACUCCAUGACGCAUGUUGUGGGUGGAAAGCCUUGUGCGGCUGAGGAUGGGCCCGCGGCCUAUCAGCUUGUUGGUGGGGUGAUGGCCUACCAAGGCGACGACGGGUAGCCGGCCUGAGAGGGCGACCGGCCACACUGGGACUGAGACACGGCCCAGACUCCUACGGGAGGCAGCAGUGGGGAAUCUUGCGCAAUGGGCGAAAGCCUGACGCAGCGACGCCGCGUGA